rnacentral:SRP_RNA from 1 species
CCGCGCAGCCGGGGAGAUAGCGGUGCCCUGUACUCGCAAUCCGCUACAGCGAGGGUGAUGCCGAGCCGAGGGCGUACUGCUGUGGAGCUGCCCUGAAUAAGUGAUGUUGACGCCUGGGUCUUGCGCAACAGGAACCCGUGAACCGUGUCAGGUCAGGAAUGGAGCAGCACUAAGCGGGACCACCUGUGUGCCGUAAGGGUGCCUGGGUCGAGUUAACUGUUCAGGUAACGUCCAUGGUAUGCGUUCGAAGCAAGGCGCGCGG